UCAGAAAACAACCCAAUUAGUAUGUAUGCUUAUAAUAUUACCCGUGUGUGCCCGUGUUCUACUAGCAAAUAGUAUUCAGCUGAUACUUAGAGACGUUAUUUAACGACUUUCUGACCCGAAGAUUUCCGACAACGUUAAUUGUUGCACACUCCAAAGAUAAUAAAUAUGAAAUGCUCAGGUAGUUCAUUAUUCAAAGUAAAUGGUUUA